rnacentral:ribozyme from 1 species
AGCAGACAGACAGACGGAAAGAUGAACAGAGAGAAAGACUUUCUUUCUUUCUUUCCAGCCUUCUUUCUUUCUUUCUUUCUUUCUUUCUUUCUCCCUUCUUUUUUUAUUUUGUUCAAAUGGUUGAAAAGAGUCAUAUCCGCUGAAAGAUUUGUUUAAGAAU